rnacentral:rRNA from 1 species
UACGUAGGGUGCAAGCGUUGUCCGGAAUUAUUGGGCGUAAAGAGCUCGUAGGCGGUUUGUCGCGUCGAAUGUGAAAACCCGGGGCUCAACCCCGGGCCUGCAGUCGAUACGGGCAAACUAGAGUGUGGUAGGGGAGACUGGAAUUCCUGGUGUAGCGGUGAAAUGCGCAGAUAUCAGGAGGAACACCGGCGGCGAAGGCGGCUCUCUGGGACGGUACUGACGCUGAGGCGCGAAAGCGUGGGGAGCGAACAGG